ACGAACGCUGGCGGCGUGCUUAACACAUGCAAGUCGAACGGAAAGGCCCUGCUUUUGUGGGGUGCUCGAGUGGCGAACGGGUGAGUAACACGUGAGUAACCUGCCCUUGACUUUGGGAUAACUUCAGGAAACUGGGGCUAAUACCGGAUAGGAGCUCCUGCUGCAUGGUGGGGGUUGGAAAGUUUCGGCGGUUGGGGAUGGACUCGCGGCUUAUCAGCUUGUUGGUGGGGUAGUGGCUUACCAAGGCUUUGACGGGUAGCCGGCCUGAGAGGGUGACCGGCCACCUUGGGACUGAGAUACGGCCCAGACUCCUACGGGAGGCAGCAGUGGGGAAUAUUGCACAAUGGGCGGAAGCCUGAUGCGGCAACGCCGCGUGCGGGAUGAUGGCCUUCGGGUUGUAAACCGCUUUCGCCUGUGACGAAGCGUGAGUGACGGUAAUGGGUAAAGAAGCACCGGCUAACUACGUG
rnacentral:rRNA from 1 species